GGAGGAGCUGCCUAUCGGUGAGGGCAACGGUCCCGAAAAUCGUGAUCAGCCAUGGUCUGGGGGUUCGACUCCCCCCUCCUCCG
rnacentral:tRNA from 2 species